rnacentral:tRNA from 1 species
GCGUGGGUAGUUCAGUGGUUAGAAUCUCUGGCUUCCAACCAGAUGACCCGGGUUCGAAUCCCGGCCCGCGCA